rnacentral:lncRNA from 1 species
CCAGCAGCCGCUGGUUCCUCAAGUCCGAUCAUUGACCCAUCCCACCACGGCCCACUCAUAGAAUCACUGAGGUUGGAAAAGGCCUCCAAGAUCCCCAAGCCCAACCCAAGCCCACUCCCAUUGACCAUGUUCCUCAGUGCCAUAUCUCCACGGUUCUGGAACAUCUCCAGGGUUGAUGACUCCACCACCUCCCUGGGCAGCCUGUGCCACUGCAUUAUUAGAAAUGGAAAACGAGUCACCAGCAGCCAACCUGUCCCAUGACAGGGCUGCAAACCUCUGAAGGAGCUGUAAGGAAGAUGGUCUGGCUGUAAAGAAAGGGCGCAAAGGUGUUGAGAUGUUCUGGGGUCAUCACAACGCCGGCAGUGGUCCAAAGCACAUUCUCCUCCUGCUUGGUCGCUGGCUCCAGUGCUCCCAGAAAUGCCUCCUGUCUUCACAUUGCACUCCCCCUCUGCCCACCCGGCUCCUUCAGCAGCAGGAGGCACGAUGGCCUCCUCCAGUCCCACUGGAGCACUCUGAGGGACAUCAUGUUGCCGUGGUGGCUUCGGCGUGGACACGGUGGUGGUGGUUGGGUUUGGUUCAUCUGCUGGAGCUGCUGCCAUUUACACUAGUGUAUCUCUUAUUGCUGUGCCAGUCUAUUGAAUAAUGCAACUUCUUUUCGUAUAUACGUGUAUGUGUGUAUGUGUCUGUGGGUGUAGAUAAAUCAAUAGCUAGGUUAAAGUUAUUUCUUUCUUUCUUUACAAGUUCUUUGUUUCUUUCUCUGGACUCUCUGUCAUCCUCAGCUCUGACGUCUGGGCUUGGAAGAUGUUCCAGUGACCUGGGUGAGCAGAGAUGGACACUUGUUAGCCUUCGCCUUUAGU